UACGAAGGGGGCUAGCGUUGCUCGGAAUUACUGGGCGUAAAGGGCGCGUAGGCGGAUAGUUUAGUCAGAGGUGAAAGUCAAGGGCUCAACCCUUGAAAGCCGGUUGAUACUGUCGGGCUAGAGUCCGGAAGAGGCGAGUGGAAUUCCCGGUGUAGCGGUGAAAUGCGCAGAUAUCGGGAGGAACACCAAUGGCGAAGGCAGCUCGCUGGGACGGUACUGACGCUGAGACGCGAAAGCGUGGGGAGCAAACAGG
rnacentral:rRNA from 1 species